CCCGGGCGCGCGGUUCCUGCAACUCCGGACCCGAGUCCUCGCAGGCCGCCGCCGCCCGGAACCCCGGGCCGUGGACGCCCGACCGACCCCACCUGUGGACACAGGCCCAGCCGCCCCGUCCCGCUCUGCCUCCUUCCUGGCCCCUCCAGCAACAUUUAAGCAGGAGCCCUGGACACCUACUGUGUGCCAGUUCCGAGCUCCUGCUGAGCUGGGGACCUUCGGGCAUCCGGAGCCUCGCGGGGCUUGCGUUCUCCUGGGCGACACGGACGCUCGUCGCACAACCACGCAACCUAAGUGAUGAAUUAGGGAGCUUUAAUGAGGGCGCUGCAGGAGCCGCGGGAGUUCACCAGGAGCGGGCAGAGACCUGCGCAGAAUGUCCACGCUGGGCUGUUGUGAUAAGGAGAGCACCGGAAAUAGCCCAGAUGCCGGUCCACAAGCAGGAGGGCAAGUGACCUGGAAUGCUCUCACCAGGAACGAAGGCACAGCCGUGAGACUGAAGGAGCAUCAGAAAGUGAGGCCCAGCAAUCAUCAGUACCAACAUCACAUGGGAGCUGAUUAGAACUGCAGGCUUGGGAGACCAGCAGAUGGCCUAAUGGUUACGUCGCUGGACUCCUACAUAGCUGACUGUGGUUUGAGUCCUGGACCUGUUGAUUGCGGUUUGAGUCCCGGACGUGGUGACUUAA